rnacentral:lncRNA from 1 species
CCCGCCACGACAACCAUCACAGUACCACACCACCACCACACACCAAACUCCGAAACCAACAAUCUCCAUCGUCGCCAAAAACCACCACAACCACAACCACAACCACAACCACAACCACAACAACCGCCAGCAAACAUACUAACAAUGCUUAAUUCACAACCUCACCAACACCACCCAAAAGUAAUUUUUCAGCUAGUUCCACCCACUAGAACCACCACCACCUCAACACAUCGCAGAACACCAACGUACCACAAUCACCACUGCACCUACUUCCACGACCACCACCGUCGACCAUCACCACCAAUGCCAAAAUAUGUAAGUAGCCACCACCACCACCCAAAUAUCACCAAAAAAAUACCACAGAUAACAACUCAAUCCAAAGUCAUUCCCAACUCCACUACCACAGCGAACAUCACCACCACCACCACCACCAUAUGAUUGUAGCCGCCACCACAACCCACAACACAGCAAUAAACCCCGAUCUCAUCUCAAAAGAUCUAUUUUUCUUCUUGCAGAUCUUACAGAUCUGUUUCACGAAUCACGAGUUACAUCAUGCGACUUCGCCCUGAAGUGACCUGUGAUAGAGGUGGUGAUGUUCAGCUGCUUCUCGAGGCUUCAUUUCGGCAGGGGUCACUUUCCGGUAGAGAGACAGGCGAGAACAUAGAGAGAGAAUUGUCGAUUUUCAACAAUGAAGACGGUAAUCGAAAACGAGACGCCAACAGCUGUGAUGUUCGAUGGAUAUGGAGAGAAUGGAGGAAGUCGACUGUCGUGAGUGAGGGAGGUAGAGAGAGAAAUGAGAGAGGAGGGUUUGCGUUGAAU